rnacentral:rRNA from 1 species
AACGAACGCUGGCGGCAUGCCUAACACAUGCCAGUCGAACGAUGCCUUCGGGCAUAGUGGCGCACGGGUGAGUAACGCGUGGGAACCUGCCCUGUGGUACGGAAUAACUCCGGGAAACUGGAGCUAAUACCGUAUGUGUCCCCUUGGACAAAGAUUUAUCGCCACGGGAUGGGCCCGCGUAGGAUUAGCUUGUUGGUGGGGUAACGGCCUACCAAGGCUACGAUCCUUAGCUGGUCUGAGAGGAUGAUCAGCCACACUGGGACUGAGACACGGCCCAGACUCCUACGGGAGGCAGCAGUGGGGAAUAUUGGACAAUGGGCGCAAGCCUGAUCCAGCAAUGCCGCGUGAGUGAUGAAGGCCUUCGGGUUGUAAAGCUCUUUCGCACGCGACGAUGAUGACGGUAGCGUGAGAAGAAGCCCCGGCUAACUUCGUG